rnacentral:rRNA from 1 species
UGUUAGAUGGAUGACUUGGUUCGAAACGCCGAUGAAGGACGUGACAAGCUACGAUAUGCUCCGGCGAGUCGAAUGUAGACGUUGAACCGGAGAUUUCCGAAUGAGUCUUCUCUCUUAUAGACCCUUUGGGGUCGGGGAACGCAGGGAAUUGAAGCGUCUUAGUACCUGCAGGAAUAAAAAUCAAUUGAGAUAUCGUUAGUAACAGCGAGCGAACGCGAUACAGUCCAAACUGAAUCCGUUAUAGUAAUAUAAUGGAGAUGUGGUUUUUGGACUUCCUUUUCAACCUUCUUUUUGAUCCGAAGUUUACUGGAAAGUAACACAGUACAGGGUGAUAGUCCCGUAGGAGAAAGAAAGAAGGUUUUGGAAGUAUCCAGAGUAUUGCUUCUUGAAAAUGAAGUGAGAAUAUGGGGGGCAUUAACCUCUAAGACUAAAUACGUUUCGAAUCCGAUAGCAUAAAGUACCGUGAGGGAAAGUUGAAAAGAACUCUUGAUAGAGAGUUAAAAGAUUCUGAAAUCUAGCAGUGAUAGUGUGUCAGGGCUUUUAGGAGUUCUGACGUUCGUUUUGAAUAACGGGCCAGAGAGUGUAUCUAUGUGGCAAGGAUAACCUGAAAAUGGGCAUCCACAGCGAAAGCAAGUUCCCGCAGUUUACGAGGGGAAUGGUAUGAAAGUGCCACAAGUCACAUGGGUACGACCUGAAACCGAGCGAUCUAUUCCUGGGCAAGGUGAAGCGAGGGUAAGACCUCGUGGAGGCCUGAAGAAGUUCUGCGUGCAAGCGUUUUUCUGACCUGGGAAUAGGGGUGAAAAGCCAAUCGAGCUCGGCGAUAGCAGGUUCCUGCCGAAAUUGACCUUAGUCAAGUCUCAGACGAGGUCGUUAUGGUUGUAGAGCUACGGAUAGGGGAUUUAGGCGGAGAAAUCUGUCGGUUUCUUGUCCAACUCCGAAUGCUAUAACACCGUAGACUCUGGGAAACAGGGAGUCUUGGGGUAAACUUGAUUUCCGAGAGGGGAACAACCCAGACUAUGGUUAAGGCCCCUAAGUGUCAGCUAAGUGAUAAAGGGUAAAGGGUGUUCGUGAUCUUAGACAGUGAGGAGGUUGGCUUAGAAGCAGCCAUCCUUUAAAAAGUGCGUAACAGCUUACUCAUUGAGAUCGUGAGUCCCGAAAAUUGACGGGUCUAAGCUGACCGCCGAUACCAUAGACCACGAUAAGUGGGCGUAGGCAGGCGUACGUAUAGGAUAGAAGUUUUCUUGUAAGAGGAGAUGGACCUGUACGUAAUGAAAAUUCUGGUGAAAGUAGGAUCUUAGUAAGGUGAGAAUCCUUAUCAUCGUAAGGGCAAGGGUUCCUUGGCAAUGUCAAUCAGCCAAGGGUUAGUCGGUCCUAACUGAUCUCGUAAUGGAGUGAAGGGAAAGGGAAAGUGGUUAAUAUUCCACUACUAUUUUAGUAUGUGCGGCAACGCAAGCUAUGUUUCUAACGCUUUUGAAUAGGUUAAUAUCUCUCGUCGGAGGUAUUAAUACAGAUAAGUCAUGGGAGUAUCGUAAUGAUGAGAACAUGAGUAAACUGUAGAACAGCAGGCUUAUAGUCUGUUUAGCUGAUUUCUAGAGUCCAUGAAAAGGAAACAUUGAAAGAUCUAAAGUAACCGUACCCAGAACCGGCACUGGUGCCCCUAGGUGAGAAGCCUAAGAUGUGUGAGUUUAAUCUAGAUUAGGGAAUUCGGCAAAUUAGUCCUGUACCUUCGGUAUAAGGGAUCCCUGGUUUCGUUCUCGUAUGGGUGCGAUUUCAGGGUGCAAUUACAAAGAUGGUCCGACUGUUUAACAAAAACUUAACAUUCUGCUAGUCCGUAAGGAUGUGUAUAGAAUGUGAUACCUGCCCAGUGCCAGUACUUUAAGCCUCGUUUCAACGGGGUGAAGAGCUGGUAAACGGCGGGAGUAACUAUAACUCUCUUAAGGUAGCGAAAUGCCUUGCCGUUUGAAUGACGGCCUGCAUGAAUGGUAUAACGAGAUUGUCACUGUCCCAAUCUAGAGUCUCCCGAAUACUCUUUCCUGGUGCAAAGGCCAGGGAAUUCCAGUGGGAAGCGAAGACCCCGUGAAACUUUACUGUAGCCUGUCGUUGUGAUGUGGUUUCUGUUAUAUAGUGUAAGUGGGAGCUGUUUGAGCAUAAUGACGUCAGUUAGUAUGUGAGGCGCCAAUGUAACACCACUUUUCAGAAAUUAUGUCACUAACCUCGUAAAGAGGAACAGCGGUUGGUAGACAGUUUGGCUGGGGUGGCACGCUGUUGAAAAGAUAUCAAUAGCGCCCAAUGGUAGACUCAGUCGGUUUAGAAAUCCGACGUAGAGUGUAAGAGCAAAAGUCUGCCUGAUUGGACUCCGAACAUAAAGGUUUCCAAACACGAAAGUGUGGUCUAGCGAACUACCAAGCCUUCUUAAUGAGGGCUGGUAAUGACUGAAAAGUUACUCCGGGGAUAACUGAGUUGUCGCGCCUGAGAGUUCGUAUUCUGUCUUGUGAGAUUACUCAUAAGCAGAGAGAAUAAAUCGACGGCGCGGUUUGCUACUUCGAUGUCGGCUCUUCCUGUCCUGGCGGUGCAGAAGCUGCCAAGGGUGGGGGUGUUCACCCAUUAAAAGGGAUCGUGAGCUGGGUUCAGAACGCUGUGAGGCAGUUUGUUUGAUAUCUACUGGAAUUGUUGGGAAUCUGAAAGGAAGGACUUUUUAGUACGAGAGGAACGAAAGUUCGUUGCCACUGGUCGAUCUGUUGUCUGAUAAGGCAUGCAGAGCAGCUACGCAAUAAGCGAUAAGUGCUGAACGCAUCUAAGCACGAAGCGUACCUUGAAAAGAGAUUCCUUAGAACACGGAAAGAAUACCCGUUUGAUAGAAGUGGUGUGUAAGUGU